rnacentral:rRNA from 1 species
UACGAAGGGUGCAAGCGUUAAUCGGAAUUACUGGGCGUAAAGGGUGCGUAGGCGGUUCGUUAAGUCUGUCGUGAAAUCCCCGGGCUCAACCUGGGAAUGGCGAUGGAUACUGGCGAGCUAGAGUGUGUCAGAGGAUGGUGGAAUUGCCGGUGUAGUGGUGAAAUGCGUAGAGAUCGGCAGGAAUACCCAGGGGGAAACCAGCCGACUGGGCAUCUACUGACGCUGAGGUGCGAGAGCGUGGGGAGCGAACCGG